GACGAACGCUGGCGGCGUGCCUAAUACAUGCAAGUAGAACGCUGAAGGAGGAGCUUGCUUCUCUGGAUGAGUUGCGAACGGGUGAGUAACGCGUAGGUAACCUGCCUGGUAGCGGGGGAUAACUAUUGGAAACGAUAGCUAAUACCGCAUAAUAGCAGUUAUUGCAUGAUAACUGUUUGAAAGGUGCAAUUGCACCACUACCAGAUGGACCUGCGUUGUAUUAGCUAGUUGGUGGGGUAACGGCUCACCAAGGCGACGAUACAUAGCCGACCUGAGAGGGUGAUCGGCCACACUGGGACUGAGACACGGCCCAGACUCCUACGGGAGGCAGCAGUAGGGAAUCUUCGGCAAUGGACGGAAGGCUGACCGAGCAACGCCGCGUGAGUGAAGAAGGUUUUCGGAUCGUAAAGCUCUGUUGUAAGAGGAGAACGAGUGUGAGAGUGGAAAGUUCACACUGUGACGGUAUCUUACCAGAAAGGGACGGCUAACUACGUG
rnacentral:rRNA from 1 species